GUAGUCAUAUGCUUGUCUCAAAGAUUAAGCCAUGCAUGUCUAAGUAUAAGCAAUUAUACAGCGAAACUGCGAAUGGCUCAUUAUAUAAGUUAUCGUUUAUUUGAUAGUACCUUACUACUUGGAUAACCGUGGUAAUUCUAGAGCUAAUACAUGCUAAAAAUCCCGACUUCGGAAGGGAUGUAUUUAUUAGAUUAAAAACCAAUGCCCUCCGGGGCUCACUGGUGAUCCAUGAUAACUCCUCGAAUCGCAUGGCCUUGCGCCGGCGAUGGUUCAUUCAAAUUUCUUCCCUAUCAACUUUCGAUGUUUGGGUAUUGGCCAAACAUGGUUGCAACGGGUAACGGGGAAU
rnacentral:rRNA from 1 species